ensembl:lncRNA
UAUAUAUAUAUAUAUAUAUAUAUAUAUAUAUAUAUAUAUAUAUAUAUAUAUAUAUAUAUAUAUAUAUAUAUAUAAUCUUAAAAUCACUGGUGUUCAGUAACAGUUUCUUGAUUAUUUUCAAAAUGUGCAUAUGAUUUUUUUUGUUUGUUUUUUUUUUUUGUUGUUGUUUAGGUCAGAAAUGGAGAAAAUAUUUUAUGUGAGUCCACCCAUCACAUAAAUGGCAACAGGCUUCAUAACAUUUUAUCCAGUGCAAAUGAACUAAUAACUGAUGCCACGAAAUAAGUAGAUAUUUUUAAACAAUCAAAAGAAAAACCUGAAUGCAUCAUGUCUGAUCAACAUAUCAAGUUGUGGAAGUUCAUUAUUCUGCAACACCAACAAGACAUUUUUCUAAAUAAUUCACUUUCUCCUCUAAAUGCCUUUAUCCCAGACAUUCAGCACUAGAUGGCAGUCUAUCUGCUGAUAAUGGUUUGUGUUGAAAUUUUAUAAAUACAUGUACGGUACAAGAUGUUCACAUCUUCCAAACCUUGUAGGUGUGACACAUAAUAACAGGGCACAGACCUCUUAAAUUCAUUAGAAAUUGUAAAUGUAUCUCUUACUUUUCUGCACCCCGAUGGAUUAGACUUUGAUGAGGAAACAACCCAACAUAGUGAUUUUUGAUCUGUUCAUUACCCAGCUGCAGAGGGACAUCCUGGUGGCUGGGCCACCCAACGGCAGAUGUGAGGGAAGCUGCAGUGCAACAGAAUUACCCCCUAAAAUACAUCACACUCACUCUCAGGAUUCACAAGUUAGAAAGACUCCAGAGAACCACAAAAACACACAGCCCGUGUGUGACAUGGUUUCAGCUGGUGGGGGAUGAGCGGUGUUGAUGAACAAACUGACUUUAAACCGAACCUGGCAGGAGUACCUUGAUGGAUUCGGCUCCCCGCAGACAGAGAACUGGUUAGGGAAUGCAGUUCUGCACUAACCGCCAAUGGGCAUCACACGCUCCGUAUCACUCUCCAAGACUGGGAUGAACAGACACGUCAUGCUAACUAUAACAACUUUAAAGUGGCAGUAGUAAACCAGAGGUAUAUACACACAUAGUCAUACUAGUAUCUGGUGUAAGACUAGUGUCAAAGCAGAGUCUCAACAAACCUGUAUAAAAUAGGCCUAGUUCAGUUUCUUAUUAUGAUGCAUGUGUGAUAUUCUCUCCAUAAGGUUCUGCCUAACUGCUUGAGAUUACCAUGACGAUGCUGGCAAACAGUACAACCACGAUGGCAGAGUUUUCAGCACAUUUGUAACUGUGGCCAUUAUUAUGGUGCAGGCUGGUGGUUUGAUUCCUGUUUGGUCACUUACAUCAAUGGGCACUACUAUCAUGGGCAUUACAGUGGCAUCACGGAUGGCAUCUACUGGGGCACCUGGUAUAUCCUAACUGACUAUCACACAGGGGAAAGAUACUCAUUUAAGAGUGUUGAAAUGAAAACUAGACCAAAGCGGAGUUAAGGAAAACUUUUUUUUAAAUGACAAAUCCUUGUCAUGUAAUCAUACUCUUGCACUAUUUCAUUGUAGUAUUUCAUUUCAAUAAUGGGUUGUAAUUAUAUAACCUUGACCUGCCAUUAAACUUGAGAUUUUUAGAUAAUUGUAUGAUAUGAGAACAUAUUUAUAAACAUUUGUUCUAAAAUAAAUGUCAUAUUUUAAGCACUCUUUUACUCAGCAUAUAUAAUACAUUUUCAGUUACAGCUGCUCUUUUAAGACACAAAUGAACUAUUAAGCUUUUCAUGCUGCAAAUACAAUUUUUUUUUUUACAUGGUCUUUAUUUAUUUUCCAAAUGUGUGUUACUGAUCUUGUUGUGAACAAUUCAUCUGUAUAUAUGUUUAUUUUCUUAAUCUCAUAAUUCUUAAAAUAUCAUGACUGAAUCUUCCAGUGAAACAACAGGUGACGCAUGCAAUUAUUCUCCAAUCAUUUAAUCUGCUUAAAUCCCACCCCUUUCUUAUAAUUGACUACAGAAAAAAAAGAUGUUGCUGCUUUCUUUUAUUGUGAAGCUUAUUAAACAGUUCUCUAGAAUACUUUCACCCAAAUUCUUCUCUUGAAUGUUCUGCCAGUCAACUGAUUUACGACCGUGCAAAUUUUAAACGUUAAUUUCAGGGUCCUGAUCACCCCAUCAGAGUUUCUUCUGCUAUAAUGACCGGCUGACUGUAUUUUAUCUUUAUAGCUAAAAUCAUUCAUAAUGCAGAAAGGUCAAAGUUCAACAGGUCUAAGAUGGC